rnacentral:rRNA from 1 species
GACGAACGCUGGCGGCGUGCUUAACACAUGCAAGUCGAACGGAAAGGCCCCUUUUGGGGUACUCGAGUGGCGAACGGGUGAGUAACACGUGAGUAACCUGCCCUUGACUUCGGGAUAACUUCAGGAAACUGGGGCUAAUACCGGCUAGGAAUCCUUGCUGCAUGGUGGGGGUUGGUAAGCUUCGGCGGUUUUGGAUGGACUCGCGGCUUAUCAGCUUGUUGGUGGGGUAGUGGCUUACCAAGGCUUUGACGGGUAGCUGGCCUGAGAGGGUGACCGGCCACAUUGGGACUGAGAGACGGCCCAGACUCCGACGGGAGGAAGCAGGGGGGAAUAUUGAACAAUGGGCGGAAGCCUGAUGCAGCAACGCCGCGGGCGGGAUGACGGCCUUCGGGUUGUAAACCGCUUUCAGCAGGGGCGAAGCUUGUGGUGACGGUACCUGCAGAAGAAGCACCGGCUAACUACGUG